rnacentral:rRNA from 1 species
AACUCUUUGCAGUGGAUCACUCGGCUCAUGCAUUGAUGAAGAAUGCAGCUAGCUACGAGAAUUAAUGUGAAUUGCAGGACACAUCGAUCAUUAACACUUUGAAUGCACUUGUAGCUCCAGGUUCCUCCCAGGGCUUUAAGAAAAA